CUAUGGGUUGUAAACUGCUUUUAUAAGGGAAUAAAGUGAGUCUCGUGAGACUUUUUGCAUGUACCUUAUGAAUAAGGACCGGCUAAUUCCGUGCCAGCAGCCGCGGUAAUACGGAAGGUCCGGGCGUUAUCCGGAUUUAUUGGGUUUAAAGGGAGCGUAGGCCGGAGAUUAAGCGUGUUGUGAAAUGUAGACGCUCAACGUCUGCACUGCAGCGCGAACUGGUUUCCUUGAGUACGCACAAAGUGGGCGGAAUUCGUGGUGUAGCGGUGAAAUGCUAGAUAUCACGAAGAACUCCGAUUGCGAAGGCAGCUCACUGGAGCGCAACUGACGCUGAAGCUCGAAAGUGCGGGUAUCGAACAGGAUUAGAUACCCUGGUAGUCCGCACGGUAAACGAUGGAUGCCCGCUGUUGGUCUGAAUAGGUCAGCGGCCAAGCGAAAGCAUUAAGCAUCCCACCUGGGGAGUACGCCGGCAACGGUGCAACUCAAAGGAAUUGACGGA
rnacentral:rRNA from 1 species